GAUGAACGCUGGCGGCGCGCCUAACACAUGCAAGUCGAACGAUUAAAGCACCUUCGGGUGUGUAUAAAGUGGCGAACGGCUGAGUAACACGUGGGCAACCUGCCCCUUUCAUUGGGAUAGCCACGGGAAACCGUGGAUAAUACCGAAUACUUCGAGACUUCCGCAUGGAAGACUCGAGAAAGCUCCGGCGGAGAGGGAUGGGCCCGCGGCCUGUUAGCUUGUUGGUGGGGUAACGGCCUACCACGGCAAUGAUGGGUAGCUGGGUUGAGAGACCGACCAGCCAGAUUGGGACUGAGACACGGCCCAGACUCCUACGGGAGGCAGCAGUGGGGAAUCUUGCACAAUGGGCGAAAGCCUGAUGCAGCGACGCCGCGUGCGGGAUGAAGGCCUUCGGGUUGUAAACCGCUUUCAGCAGGGACGAGGCGAAAGUGACGGUACCUGCAGAAGAAGCCCCGGCUAACUACGUG
rnacentral:rRNA from 1 species